GUAGGGGACAGCUCAGUGGUAGAGCUUGUGCUUAGCAUGCAUGACGCCCUGGGUUCAAUCCCCAGUCCCUCCA
rnacentral:tRNA from 1 species